rnacentral:rRNA from 1 species
GAGUUUGAUCCUGGCUCAGGAUGAACGCUGGCGGCGUGCUUAACACAUGCAAGUCGAACGGGAAUGCCACGCUGAUGCGAUUUCGGUCAAAUCAUGUGGCAUUCGAGUGGCGGACGGGUGAGUAACGCGUGGGCAACCUGCCUCAUACAGGGGGAUAACAGUUAGAAAUGACUGCUAAUACCGUAUAAGACCACGGUACUGCAUGGUACAGUGGUAAAAACUCCGGUGGUAUGAGAUGGGCCCGCGUCUGAUUAGCUAGUUGGUGAGGUAACGGCUCACCAAGGCAACGAUCAGUAGCCGACCUGAGAGGGUGACCGGCCACAUUGGGACUGAGACACGGGCCAAACUCCUACGGGAGGCAGCAGUGGGGAAUAUUGCACAAUGGGGGAAACCCUGAUGCAGCGACGCCGCGUGAGCGAUGUAGUAUUUCGGUUAUAUAAAGCUCUAUCAGCAGGGAAGAAAGUGACGGUACCUGAGUAAGAAGCCCCGACUAACUACGUGCCAGCAGCCGCGGUAAUACGUAGGGGGCAAGCGUUAUCCGGAUUUACUGGGUGUAAAGGGAGAGUAGACGGCUGAUAACAAGCCAAGAUAUGAAAGCCCGGGGCUCACCCCCGGGACUGCAUUAGGAACCGUAUAGCUAGAGUGUUGGAGAGGCAGGCGGUAUUCCUAGUGUAGCGGUGAAAUGCGUAGAUAUUAGGAGGAACACCAGUGGCGAAGGCGGCCUGCUGGACGAUGACUGACGUUGAGGCUCAAAAGCGUGGGGAGCAAACGGAAUUAGAUCCCCUGGUAGUCCCACCCCGUAAACGAUGACUACUAGGUGUCGGGCAGCAAAGCUGUUCGGUGCCGCAGCCAGCGCAAUAGGUAGUCCACGUGGGGAGUACGUUCGCAAGAAUGAAACUCAAAGGAAUUGACGGGGACCCGCACAAGCGGUGGAGAAUGUGGUUUAAUUCGAAGCAACGCGAAGAACCUUACCUGACCUUGACAUCCCGAUGACCGUCCAGUAAUGUGGACUUCCCUUCGGGGCAUUGGAGACAGGUGGUGCAUGGUUGUCGUCAGCUCGUGUCGUGAGAUGUUGGGUUAAGUCCCGCAACGAGCGCAACCCCUAUCUUUAGUAGCCAGCACAUGAAGGUGGGCACUCUAGAGAGGCGGCCAGGGACAACCUGGAGGAAGGUGGGGAUGACGUCAAAUCAUCAUGCCCCUUAUGGCCAGGGCUACACACGUGGUACAAUGGCGUAAACAAAGGGAAGCGAGACCGUGAGGUGGAGCAAAUCCCAGAAAUAACGUCUCAGUUCGGAUUGUAGUCUGCAACUCGACUACAUGAAGCUGGAAUCGCUGGUAAUCGCGAAUCAGAAUGUCGCGGUGAAUACAAUCCCGGGUCUGGCACUCACCACCCGUCA